CCGGCGACCGGCGCACGGGUGAGUAACACGUAUGCAACCUGCCCUCCGCAGGGGGAUAACCCGGAGAAAUCCGGACUAAUACCGCGUGGUACACCAGUGGGGCAUCCCACUGGUGUUAAAAGGAAGUGAUUCCGGCGGAGGAUGGGCAUGCGGCGCAUUAGCUUGUUGGCGGGGUAACGGCCCACCGAGGCGACGAUGCGUAGGGGUUCUGAGAGGAAGGUCCCCCACACUGGUACUGAGACACGGACCAGACUCCUACGGGAGGCAGCAG
rnacentral:rRNA from 1 species